GGCGGCGUGCUUAACACAUGCAAGUCGUACGAGAACUCUUUAGCUUGCUAAAGAUAGUAAAGUGGCGCACGGGUGAGUAACGCGUGGGUAAUCUACCUCUGAAUUUGGGAUAACUCCGCGAAAGCGGUGCUAAUACCGGAUAAUAUUUCAGAAUCUUCGGGUUUUGAAAUCAAAAGUGGUCUCUACAUGUAAGCUACUGUUUGGAGAUGAGCCCGCGUACCAUUAGCUUGUUGGUAGGGUAAUGGCCUACCAAGGCUACGAUGGUUAGCUGGUCUGAGAGGAUGAUCAGCCACACUGGAACUGACACACGGUCCAGACUCCUACGGGAGGCAGCAGUGGGGAAUUUUGCGCAAUGGGGGAAACCCUGACGCAGCAACGCCGCGUGAGUGAUGAAGGCUUUCGGGUCGUAAAGCUCUGUCAAGUGGGAAGAACAUGGAAAAUGUUAAUAUCAUUUUUUACUGACGGUACCACUAAAGGAAGCACCGGCUAACUCCGUGCCAGCAGCCGCGGUAAUACGGGGGGUGCAAGCGUUAUUCGGAAUUAUUGGGCGUAAAGGGCGCGUAGGCGGUCUUUUAAGUCAGAUGUGAAAGCCCGGGGCUUAACCCCGGAAGUGCAUUUGAAACUGAAGGACUUGAGUAUGGGAGAGGGAAGUGGAAUUCCUGGUGUAGAGG
rnacentral:rRNA from 1 species